rnacentral:rRNA from 1 species
AUUGAACGCUGGCGGAAUGCUUUACACAUGCAAGUCGAACGGCAGCACGGACUUCGGUCUGGUGGCGAGUGGCGAACGGGUGAGUAAUGUAUCGGAACGUGCCCAGUCGUGGGGGAUAACGUAGUGAGAAUUACGCUAAUACCGCAUACGAUCUAUGGAUGAAAGCGGGGGAUCGCAAGACCUAGCGCGAUUGGAGCGGCCGAUAUCAGAUUAGGUAGUUGGUGGGGUAAAGGCCCACCAAGCCAACGAUCUGUAGCUGGUCUGAGAGGACGACCAGCCACACUGGAACUGAGACACGGUCCAGACUCCUACGGGAGGCAGCAGUGGGGAAUUUUGGACAAUGGGCGAAAGCCUGAUCCAGCCAUUCCGCGUGCAGGAUGAAGGCCCUCGGGUUGUAAACUGCUUUUGUACAGAACGAAAAGGUUUCUACUAAUACUAGGAGCUCAUGACGGUACUGUAAGAAUAAGCACCGGCUAACUACGUGCCAGCAGCCGCGGUAA